rnacentral:rRNA from 1 species
CAGUCGCCGCGGGAAUACGUAGGUCCCGAGCGUUGUCCGGAUUUAUUGGGCGUAAAGCGAGCGCAGGCGGUUAGAUAAGUCUGAAGUUAAAGGCUGUGGCUUAACCAUAGUACGCUUCGGAAACUGUUUAACUUGAGUGCAAGAGGGGAGAGUGGAAUUCCAUGUGUAGCGGUGAAAUGCGUAGAUAUAUGGAGGAACACCGGUGGCGAAAGCGGCUCUCUGGCUUGUAACUGGCGCUGAGGCUCGAAAGCGUGGGGAGCAAACAGGAUUAGAUCCCCCGUAGUCCCUGUCUCUUAUACAC